GCGCCCCUGCCUGGUCUUGAGAAGUCAAAGGUCUCCAGGAGCCCUCCGCCUCCCUGUUUUUUAUUCACACACCCUAGCCUCACACGUUAGGAGUCUCCCCAACAGACCGUGAGCCGGUGUCGGGAGGGUGGAGGUGGAUGUAGCUCACCGCCACGCUACCACAGAAGAGCGAAAGCUGCUUUCUCAGCCACCGGAGAGCACGAAGAACUAUAUAUUAUAAAGCAUUCAAAGGCAAGUGAGAAUUCAAAUCUGUAG
rnacentral:lncRNA from 1 species